rnacentral:rRNA from 1 species
UUUGGAGAGUUUGAUCCUGGCUCAGGACGAACGCUGGCGGCGUGCUUAACACAUGCAAGUCGAACGAUGAAGCCUAGCUUGCUAGGUGGAUUAGUGGCGAACGGGUGAGUAAUACGUGAGUAACCUACCUUUAACUCUGGGAUAAGCCUGGGAAACUGGGUCUAAUACCGGAUACGACCAAUCUCCGCAUGGGGUGUUGGUGGAAAGCGUUAUGUAGUGGUUAUAGAUGGGCUCACGGCCUAUCAGCUUGUUGGUGAGGUAACGGCUCACCAAGGCGACGACGGGUAGCCGGCCUGAGAGGGUGACCGGCCACACUGGGACUGAGAC